rnacentral:lncRNA from 1 species
GGGAUAUUUCUGUGUUUGGCCAACACAAAAGGGUUCACAAAUCAUUCAAAGUACAAUGUGAUAGGGUUCCUGUUGCAGGGCUGCAGCUCCUGGCAUGAGCUCUUAAUAUUCAUCAAUCACGGCACAUUUUCAUGGUGCACUGAUUGAUGUUUGCUGUAGGACUUGCUCUGUGUUUGUCACAUUUGCUGAAUAGGCCCUUACAUUUGUCAAGUGUACUGCAGUGAAUGUAAGACAAAACACAAGUCACUACUGCGACAAAUUAACAGUGUCUGACAUUUCUAACAAGGCGUGCUCAAUAUUUCACAUGCAAUCAACUUUAGAAAUGUUCACUCGGUGUACCUUUAUAAUACAUUUCAUUAAGUUUAUUUAUUUAUUUAUUUUUAAUGGCUGUUGUUAAAACUUAUGUUUGCCUUGUUACCACACUUUGAAUGUGAUAUGCAAAGUGUGCUUUACCCCAACACUGCAUAAUGGACUCAGGCUACAUGCCCAGAUGCUAAUGGACUCAGAUUCAAACAUGCAUACAGGCACGCUUACUGUACACAGCACUGAAGAAAUGCACAGCAGCUAGGUCUGUCAGUGUUUACGCAUGAAUGUUGAUGCAGUGAAGUUUUAAAAUUAACACAAUUUUUUCUUUUGUUUUUUUUUAAUUACAUGAUAUUUUGUCCUUUCCCGCACACCUCUGCACUUUUGAAUGAGACAUUUUACUCUAAAAAAUGUUUAAAUGGCUGAGUUAAAAGUCCAAAAUUGUAUGCAAACAGAUUUAAAAUAUCACUGGAUUACAUCAAGUGAGCUAAGCAUGCAGGUGCAGCUGAUCAGACUGAUGUAAACAAGCAAAACUGUAACCGGUCUCCAGGCUUUGAUGUUGUCUCCUACCUCCUAAGACCACUCUGCUGCAUUUAUUAUGAUUUAUACAUCUAUAAGUACAGAUCAUAAAGUACUUUUAAUGCAUAAGACACAUGUAAGAAUUCCUUUACAUAGUUUAAAUGACAUUUAAAGCCAUUUUUAUAAUGCAAAGUAAUGAAGUUCUGUACACGCCAGUUUAGAAAAUUAGCUGUUGAAAUUUUUGGAUUAUCAGGUUUUAAAAAAUAAACAGUUUAGCAGUCCUACAGCCAACAUAAGUCUUUCUUUACAAUAAAUAUGUCCAUCUUUUUUCCUCUCAAACAAAAGAGCUGAAAUCCAGCAGCUGUUCAUGGGAGUUAAAACCUCCCAGGCGGAGAUAUACUAUUUCUUAUGAUCCUCGCUUAAGAUGCAGAAUUAUAAAAGUAUAGUAUUACCAAAUAUUUCUGCAGCAAACUUUUUACUUCUGCAGAACACAGUCAGAGUGAUGACAACUGAGUCUGCCAUCAGCUCCAUAAUCCGCGCUGUCACACCGACACACAGAUUCACCAAGAACAAAUUGGAAAAGAUGCAAAAUGAUGUACAAAGAAGAUGGGAGUGAUUUUACGGAGUGAAAUUGAUAUCUGUGCCAUGAUAUUAGACCCACUGGGAUGCAGAAAGUUUUGGAAAACUUGAUGUGAUUUCGAAAAAGAUUUGCGUGUCUCUUAUUUUUUGCAGCGGAAAGAGGUUUAAUGUCACUUUGAUGGCGGAGAUUAGUCUCAGUCCUCUUGUGAUCUUACAUUAGCACAAGGUUAUUCAAGCUUACAGGCGCUGAUUGGACUGAAUGCCUGCUAGACUUCUGUCAAUGCAGAGUGUAUGUAAACAUGGUAAAAAUCUGCUCUCAACACAUCAAUGUUUCAUAUUUUUUUUAAUCAUUAUGGUUAGAAAAUCGCAGCCAGUAACUCAUGCAGGAUUUCACGCAUGUAUGUACAUGACAUGAUCUGUCAUCUCCAAGAGAGGGCAUGGACACAAUUGCAAAUCCCUCUCCUCCCUCCCUCCUUCCUCUCGCCCUCCUUCCUCCCGAUAUGCUAAUGCUUUAUCCCGUGCCGUAUUUCAUGCAAAUGCCUUUCAUCGCAUAUUUUCAAAUGUCAUUUAGAAGACAGCUGUAGCACAAGCAUCCAUAAUGUUUUGACUAGGGGGGAAAUUGCAACAUGGAUCUCAGUCAUUGUGAAUUCUGCGCACAAAGACAGGAAGUGGAAAAUGUUGAACUCUGUCCUCGACACAACAUGAUUGUUUUACAGAAGUUUGAAACAUGUUUGUGAUGAAUGCUGCAGUGGGAAUACAUAAAUAAAGAUGAUAGGACAACUAAAUGAGCAGAAAAAACAAACCUCUCUCUUAGCACCCUGACUGGAUGUGUCUGUUUUUGUGUGUUUAAUUCAAAUAGGAACAUUUAUGUGCAUUUAUAGCAGCUAAAAUAAAAACCUACAGUGUGCUUUUCCGGUCCAUGAAAUUGCAGGCACCUUGGCAUUUGCUAUUCCUGCUCUGUCAUUGUCUAUAAUACUGUUCCCGACCAUGAACUAGGAGGAAAGUUUUAAAUUUAAAAUGUAAUCAGCACAAUCACCACAAGCAAUCAGUUCCUCUUCAUUCCACCUGAUCGAGCCCCCCGCUAAAAAAACAGCCUGUUAAAUAGAGCAUCUUAUCAGGCCUGGAUUAAGUUUUGACUUUGAUUAACAUCUGUAGUCGCAGUUUAGAAUGUCAAAGUUCAAGUUUGGGGAAGAUUUAGUCUUUGAGGAUACAGGAGAUGUCAAGGAAGACUUUUGAUAGAGUGAAUUACAGUAAGAAGAGGGCAGGGACUCUUUUUUGUGUUGCUCCUUAGCUGUAGAUGUGCCAAACAGUAAAAACUAAAAGCUUGAUUUGUGCCUUGAUUGUGAAGUCAAAGGGCAGUUUGACAUUUUCUUACACCCUUUCCUUUCCCUGCCAGAUUUAUAAAAUAGAAUUGACACUAAUCUUAAUUCAUGAACCCGUCAAUCAACAAAAAAAGAACAACUAAAGACUGUCCGCUUCAGUCAAAGCUAUGACACGUGUGUUAAUGUCACCGCAGUGAAAACAAAAAAGAUUCACUCUCAGAGCCUCAUUUAUUUGUAAUGUGACAACUAUCUAUAAAACUGCUCUGAAACUUAAUAAUGAUGCAGAGGAUGUCAGUAGUCCUGAAGAGAAUUAGGGCCACUGAAGAUAAAAAAAAAAAGGGUCCAGCAUAUUUUCUUAAAAUUAUUAUUCUGAGAAAAAAAAAGUAAAAAUUCUGAAUUAGGAAUAAUAAUUUUAAAAAAUUAUAUUGGACCUUUUUUUUUCUUUUUUUUUUUUCCUCAGUGGCCCUAAUCCUCUUCCAUACAGACUUAUUCACUUCAUGAAAAACUAUAGAGUUCAAAUUCAUCCUUUUAUUUAAUGUGUGAUUAAUGCAUACAUUCUACUGUCUUACAUGUAAAGCUGCAAAAUAAACUCACUAAAACCUAAUAUUACCACUGAGAACAAGGUGUCCUUUAGAUGCCGUUUCAUUUUAAGUACUGAAAAUGAAAUUUAAUAUACUUUUACCUAACGCUAAAACAAGAGCAGGGAGACUGAAGUGCAGGUCAUAUUAUUUCCAGCACUCACUGACUGAUUUGAUGCGUAUUAUUUGUGCUACUGUAACUGCGCGAUUUCAUUUCCUGCCUUAACAGCCACAGACACUAGAAAAUAACUUCAUAAUAUGUCACAUUUCAGACAAAUUAAAGACUAGAGCCUGAACAUAACUCUGUCUUGUUGUCCCGACUGAUGUCAAAUACAGAAUAUGAGUCACAAUGGGGAGGGUAGGAGUGUUUAAAGGGGUGUCUCAUGGAGGAAGAGUGGUUUUCUAUAGCUUCCUGUAGUUUUCCAACACAUUUUCAUUAAAACACUCAUAGCUUAACAAUGUUACAGUUACAGAAACUAACUAUUAUAAUUAUUAGGACAUGCAGUUCCUUUGCAGCUGUACCAUCUGUCUUUGCAGUCUUGCUGUAAUCUAGCUAAUCAGAACAGGGUUGUGGUAAAAAAAAAAAAAAAAAAAAAAAAGGGAAAAUGCCUUAGCUAAAUUACAGCCCCUUUUUACAGUAAAAUACUGUAAUAAAAUCAAAUGCCUUUUUCUGUAUUUUGUACUGUGGUAUUGUCCUCAAACUGAAUGGAGCCUUUCACAGGUAGAAAAUAAAAAGUAAAGAAAUUGCAGAAUUCAUGAACUUUUCUCAUGAGUGCAAAACAUAAUCUCAUGGUGAUCUUGCCAGCAUAAAAGACAGCCAUCUCUGACUCCAGGCUCGACAGACUUCUCCCGCCUUCCUGUCUUGUUUCAUAUUACACCCCUCAGAGACGGAAGAAAUGAGCUAGCAUUACCUCUAAUUACAUCCACCUAUCACCUCCAAAAGUACACUAAUUAAGAUAAUGUAUAGCUUUUCUUGAACUUGCGCAAACAGCAUUCCCAUUAAACAAGGUUUAUGCAGCAUACAAAACAAACGUGCCUCAAAAUGAUUCUCCCUGUACUUUAGACUGGAGAUUGUAAGACGUUUGUAACACGAAACUAUGAACUCAUUCCCAUUGUUUGUCCACACAGACAAGCAUUUAAUUGUCUAUUUUGUAUCUGCUGCAGGAGUUCUGCUAUUUCUUGAUAGCGCUGUUUAAUAAAAGGUUGGCAAAGUGCUAAAUAUUGUUUUCCUAUUUUCUGGGUAAUUGUUUUUAGAUAAAAAAUGCUGAUAUGGCGUGGCAAGGCAAUCAGCUUUAAGAAAAGGCUUGAUGAUUGGAAUGAUUUGGAGGAAUUAAAACACACCAAAGAGGGGUAUUCGCCGUUAUCCAGAGCUCAUUACGAAAUGCACAAGCUCUGCUGACUGUCCAUCUCCAAACACUUUAUGAAUUUCAAUGUCACUACAGCUGAGUUCAUUUGGGGGAAAAGGCAAACCGAGCGCACAGAGGCCACAUCCAGACAUAAUAAACUGUCGCUGUGUUCACAGAGGCGUGGAGAGGUGAGAACACCUCCCCAGUACAUCCUCAGACACAUCUGUGCCCAUGCACCUCAAAUGAUGUUUCUUUUUCAGAGGAAAUAGGUCAGCCGUGAAUACCUGGCUCCUUCCAUCUCAAAAAAUCCUUUAACACACUUAAUUAAGAGUGUAAAUAUGUUGGUUUAUUGAGUGUGACUUCAAAAAAAAAAAAAAACAUUGACUUUCCUGAGCUUUUGAGUCUUCACAAAGAUGCACAAAUCUGAAAUUUCAAAAGCGGAUUCAUUAGGAACUGUAAAGGCGCAAAAAUGCCAACUUGGCCCUCAUUUAAACACCGAAUCAAUCAGAUUGCACUGCUGUGAUUGCUUAAUUAAAUGCUCGGCUGUGUAAUGACUUUGCUUGAAAGGGGAAUUAAACGUCUAAAUGCUGCAGAAUCUGCGUCGAGGCUGAACAGAAAUCAAUGGGACAUAGUGCUGGAACCCAAGGUGUUUUCCGACUUGUUUAGGGUGAGCGUUUUGUAUUGAUGCUAUCCCUCAGUCAGUGAGUCAAAAGCUCAUUCCUCUUAGUCCAAAGCAUUGAUUGGAGGCAUACAAACUGUCUGCUUACUUUGUGCUUUCCGUGGACAUCCAGGAGAGUAGUUUACAAUGCUUUACAAGUGAGCAGUGGAUGUAAAACUCCACUUUAAAAGAGGCCAAACCGCAAACUAAUCCAGGGAAUGCUCAAAGUUAUAAACACAAGCCAGAAAGACGUGUAAAUGAGAAACAAAAUACCUCUGGUUGAUUUUUUCUACUAGAAAACCCUAUCUUCACCAUAUUGGAUAGUUCAUAUUUUAAAUGUCAGUGUUAGUCUGUUGGUUUACCAUGAUUAUUAGAACAAAAAGAUUCAAAAUGUGCUGGGUGGAUGGGUACAAUGUUUUUAAUUGACAGUCAUGUUUCCAAAAUGAUAAAUUUAAGAAUUUCCUCCCCAUCAUGUAGUCCACAUUUGCUUUUUGAGGUGUCUUAACAAUUAUUGGAGGCAAAUAUCCACAUGUUGAAGUAGUAGUUGUGUUUAGUGAUUGUCUGAAUAAUGUACCCAAGCCAUCAGUACUACAAUUUUAUCAACAUUCGCCUCAGUUUUCAUUUACCAUCAUCAUUAACAAAAUACAACCGACAUUUGUGAUUCAACUUCCUGUUCCUUUUAUUUUCACCCAUUAUAAUGAGCAACUCAUCAUGCAACCAAUUUCAAAGCUGAUUUUCUGCAUGUCCAUCUAACUAACUGUGAUCAAGGCUGUGUGCUCAACAUUUACAAGAUGAUGAGGGUUUCUAACACCAGUGUUGACACAGAUAUACUCCUUAGUCUAGUUGCUCUAUCCUACUUUGGCAUCUGUUCAUUCAAGUGUUACGUCCCCAUUGAUACACUCAGUACAUUAAAUUUACAUUAAAUAAUUGAUUUAUUGACUGAAUUGCUCCAAAUCAAACUUCUCAUGGUUGGAUAAUGCAGCUGGGCAUCACUCUGGCUCAGUCAAACUGGAGUUGGCCUGAGCCUUCUGCUCAUGCUCAGGUGUUUGCACCCUGAGUUUUCAGCUGGAAGUUGAAUUGCCUAAAUUGCCUCAUCGAGCUGUGACCGUAGCUCAACCCCACUGUGCAUGUAAACGUACUGACUUACUGCAUCACACACUAAGUUUCCCACCUUGAGUGUGACAUGACAGAAAAAUGGCCGUUGUGUGAAUAUGCUCUAUAAGCAUUAUCUAAAAGCGUUUCAUUGCCCGGGUACAACCUCACAGACCUGCAGACUCUUCCUCACAUCCUCAGUUUAGAUAGAUCCAACCCCAAUGAUCCACAUUAUCUGUUUACCGUUGUGUUUCAUUGAUAGUUGAGUUCUGUCUUAAAGCAUGCCAGUAUUUUUCUCAAAAUAACUUUCAGUGCCUGAAAUCAUCAGUCUUCAAGUAUUUUCAGAGUGUUUUUAAAAUAAAAGCCUAAAGGAAAACAUUAAAACCCAACGCACAUGGAAAUAGUUCUUGAAAGGAGUGCAGCCGACUAAUCUCACAAACAUUUGAUUGAACCAAAGGACCUUUAGAAAACCGCCAAAGCUGGGAAGGGCGUCCAACUCCUAAAAUGACAACCGAUUAUCAAACUGCCUCUGGCUCGAGACACUGUAAUCCCCCAGAUGUUUGCAGACUAUGAAAUAUGAGAGUCUGAAUUAGAUCUCUCAAACAAUGUCGGCUUGUCUGCAUCCCGUAAACCCCCAGCAUUUAAGUCACAAAAUUAAGUUGACCCCGUCAGAAAGCUUAAGGACAUGUAACAAAGCCCCCGGCCGUCUUAUUACUUCAUCUGCUUUCGUCUCAUCUCCUCUGUGUAAUAAGUUCCCACUCCAGCAAGACCACUGGGGCUAAUAAGGGUGUUAUCUGCUUUUGAUAUUAGAUAUUAGCACCUCAUCAAAGUUAAGCCAGCGGUGGGCUCUCGUCCUCCCUCCGAAUUUACAUUAGCCUAACAAUGUCUCCAAAAGAAAUCUUAUCAAAUUCAAAUUAAGGGCGAGCUGAAUAGCCAGAAGGACACCGCUACCCAUCACUCAAGGAACAUGUAAUUUGGUUCUGCAGCAAAGAAUACAAGCCUGCUUUGUAAAUCACUGAGAUCACAGUUUUGCUGCAGUAAUACUUUGAACACUCGGCACCUUGUAGUCGUGAGUCAAAACAGAGUACAUUUGUAGCAUGUUAAUGAUGAAUGUUUGGCUGCUGGGUAUGAAAAGAUGUCUGAGUGACACAAUCAGGAUUUGCUGUUUUGGAAAGCCUAUAAAUAGCAACCCUCGUCUGCCAGUCUGUGUGGUUUUUACCUAAGGGAAAGCACUUUUGUAGAACGUGUUGUUUUCAUCAGACCCUAAA